rnacentral:rRNA from 1 species
AUUGAACGCUGGCGGAAUGCUUUACACAUGCAAGUCGAGCGGCAGCGCGGGGGCAACCCUGGCGGCGAGCGGCGAACGGGUGAGUAACAUAUCGGAACGUACCCCGUCGUGGGGGAGUAACACAGCGAAAGCUGUGCUAAUACCGCAUACGACCUGAGGGUGAAAGCGGGGGAUCGCAAGACCUCGCGCGAUGGGAGCGGCCGAUAUCGGAUUAGCUUGUUGGUGAGGUAAAGGCUCACCAAGGCGACGAUCCGUAGCUGGUCUGAGAGGACGACCAGCCACACUGGAACUGAGACACGGUCCAGACUCCUACGGGAGGCAGCAGUGGGGAAUUUUGGACAAUGGGGGCGAACCCUGAUCCAGCCAUUCCGCGUGAGUGAAGAAGGCCU